GCCGCGUUGGCUCAAUGGUAGAGCGUCGCCCUCCUAAGGCGAAGGCUGUGGGUUCGAUCCCCAUGCGUGGUA
rnacentral:tRNA from 1 species